rnacentral:rRNA from 1 species
GACAGAGGGUGCAAGCGUUGUUCGGAUUUACUGGGCGUAAAGCGCGUGUAGGCGGCUUGGUAAGUCGGAUGUGAAAGCCCACGGCUCAACCGUGGAAGCGCAUCCGAAACUGCUUCGCUCGAGUCUCGGAGAGGAAGGUGGAAUGCUUGGUGUAGAGGUGAAAUUCGUAGAUAUCAAGCAGAACACCUGCGGCGAAGGCGGCCUUCUGGACGAUGACUGACGCUGAGACGCGAAAGCGUGGGGAGCAAACAGG